rnacentral:rRNA from 1 species
CCUACGGGUGGCAGCAGUGAGGAAUAUUGGUCAAUGGCCGUAAGCCUGAACCAGCCAAGUCGCGUGAGGGAUGAAGGUGCCAUGGAUCGUAAACCUCUUUUGUCAGGGGAUAAAAUGUGGCUCGUGUGCUUGAUUGUGGGUACCUUAUGAAAAAGGAUCGGCUAACUCCGUGCCAGCAGCCGCGGUAAUACGGAGGAUCCGAGCGUUAUCCGGAUUUAUUGGGUUUAAAGGGUGCGUAGGCGGGCUUUUAAGUCAGCGGUAAAAGGCUGUGGCUCAACCAUCGCAGAGCCGUUGAAACUGGGUGUCUUGAGAUUGCUUGAGGCAUGCGGAAUGCGCGGUGUAGCGGUGAAAUGCUUAGAUAUUGCGCAGAACCCCGAUUGCGAAGGCAGCAUGCCAGGGCCUGUCUGACGCUGAGGCACGAAAGCGUGGGUAUCAAACAGGAUUAGAUACCCUUGUAGUC